rnacentral:lncRNA from 1 species
UUUGAUCCUUUUUUUUUCUCAACGGCUUGAGUGGGUUCCCACGUGGCUGUUAGAUGAGAUGUGAACCGUGAAAUGCAGUUCAAUCUACCUAAGAAACCACGAACCUCUUUUUCUGUUCUCGGUUCUGGCACUUUCUUGUAUGGCUUUUUUCUUUCUUCUUUUUUUCUUUUUUUUCUUUUCUCCUUUUUUUUUAGCAGGAUCAAC